rnacentral:rRNA from 1 species
UACAGGGGGUGCAAACGUUGCUCGGAAUCAUUGGGCGUAAAGCGCACGUAGGCGGUUCGUUAUGUCGGAUGUGAAAGCCCUUGGCUUAACCGAGGAAGUGCAUCCGAAACUGGCGAGCUAGAGUACUAAAGAGGAUCGCGGAAUUCCCGGUGUAGAGGUGAAAUUCGUAGAUAUCGGGAGGAACACCGGUGGCGAAGGCGGCGAUCUGGGUAGAUACUGACGCUGAGGUGCGACAGCGUGGGGAGCAAACGAGG